GUCUCCGUAGCUCAGCUGGAUAGAGCGUCCCCCUCCUAAGGGGAAGGUCACAGGUUCAAAUCCUGUCGGGGACGCCA
rnacentral:tRNA from 1 species